rnacentral:rRNA from 1 species
UACGUAGGGGGCGAGCGUUGUCCGGAAUGACUGGGCGUAAAGGGUACGUAGGCGGCUGAGUAAGUCAGGUGUGAAAGUCUAGGGCUCAACCCUAGUGAGCACUUGAAACUGCUUGGCUUGAGUCGAGGAGAGGAAGGUGGAAUUCCUGGUGUAGCGGUGAAAUGCGUAGAUAUCAGGAGGAAUACCAGUGGCGAAGGCGACCUUCUGGCCUUGGACUGACGCUGAGGUACGAAAGCGUGGGGAGCAAACAGG